rnacentral:rRNA from 1 species
UACGUAGGUGGCAAGCGUUAUCCGGAAUUAUUGGGUGUAAAGGGUGCGUAGGCGGGAUGUAAAGUCAGAUGUGAAAUGCCGCAGCUUAACUGCGGAGCUGCAUUUGAAACUAUCGUUCUUGAGUGUUGGAGAGGCAGGCGGAAUUCCGUGUGUAGCGGUGAAAUGCGUAGAUAUACGGAGGAACACCAGUGGCGAAGGCGGCCUGCUGGACAAUAACUGACGCUGAGGCGCGAAAGCGUGGGGAGCAAACAGG